rnacentral:rRNA from 1 species
GUGCCAGCAGCCGCGGUAAUACAGAGGUCCCAAGCGUUGUUCGGAAUCACUGGGCGUAAAGGGUGCGUAGGCGGCGCGGAAAGUCAGGGGUGAAAUCCCGGAGCUCAACUCCGGAACUGCCUUUGAUACUCCCGCGCUUGAGAACUGGAGGGGAGACCGGAAUUCACGGUGGAGCAGUGAAAUGCGUGGAUAUCGUGAGGAACACUAGUGGCGAAGGCGGGUCUCUGGACAGUAUCUGACGCUGAGGCACGAAGGCCAGGGGAGCGAACGGGAUUAGAAACCCGAGUAGUCC